GACUUGUAACUCUUUAGCAGUGUUCUCCUGUAUUUCUUUCAGUGAGUUACAAAAGUUCUUCUUGAUGUCCUCUACCAUCAUCAUGAGAUAUGCUUUUAAACCCGGGUCUAGCUUUUUGGUUGUGUUGGGGUGCCCAGGACUAGGUGGCUUGGGAGUGCUGCGUUCUGAUGAUGAUAUCUCUGGUGUUGGCUUGUCUGGUAGUCACAGGGUAUCCUGGGUUUGAGCAUGUCUCCCAGGAGGCAGUCAGUGCUGUGGGAUGAGGACCUAUAAUUGCAGGUGGAAGUGUGGACUGGAAGGAAGAAGGAGCUCCUAUAGGCUGAAGCAGAGCUCAUGCCUGCUGUGCUUGCUGUGAUCCCAGUAGGUGUAGCUCAGUCAGAUCUACUCUCAAACUCUUCCUCAUUCAAAGAUCUUCCUCAUUCAAGCUCAAGUCCUUUUCUUUUUGCCUGGGAAGACAGGAUUUCAGUUGAGGAAUUACUCACAUCAGAACGGCCUGUGAUCACUUCUUUGGAGAAUUUUCUUCAUUGUCGAUUGAUGUGGAAUCCCAGGCCAAGGAAUCAUCAUUUAAAGAGAUUCAUGAAGAAUCAGAUCUCCACUUUCCUGUCUCAUCAUCAUAUCCAUCAGUGGUUGGCUCACUCAUGGAGGUCCAUGUCAACAGGAAACAGUAUGCAGCACAGAAUGAGCUUAUCAGGGUUUCUGGAAGAGGAUUACUAGUGUUGGGGUCACAUUUCCUAUCAUUUUUAUGUUAAAAGGAUAUAGCAUUGUACAUGCAGCUAGAUUUAUAUCAAAGCAAAUCCACAUACAUUUUAAAAAGAUUC
rnacentral:lncRNA from 1 species